rnacentral:rRNA from 1 species
AUGAACGCUGGCGGCGUGCCUAAUACAUGCAAGUCGAGCGAACAGACGAGGAGCUUGCUCCUCUGACGUUAGCGGCGGACGGGUGAGUAACACGUGGAUAACCUACCUAUAAGACUGGGAUAACUUCGGGAAACCGGAGCUAAUACCGGAUAAUAUAUUGAACCGCAUGGUUCAAUAGUGAAAGACGGGUUUGCUGUCACCUAUAGAUGGAUCCGCGCCGCAUUAGCUAGUUGGUAAGGUAACGGCUUACCAAGGCGACGAUGCGUAGCCGACCUGAGAGGGUGAUCGGCCACACUGGAACUGAGACACGGUCCAGACUCCUACGGGAGGCAGCAGUAGGGAAUCUUCCGCAAUGGGCGAAAGCCUGACGGAGCAACGCCGCGUGAGUGAUGAAGGUCUUCGGAUCGUAAAACUCUGUUAUUAGGGAAGAACAAAUGUGUAAGUAACUAUGCACGUCUUGACGGUACCUAAUCAGAAAGCCACGGCUAACUACGUG